GUCUAGUUAGUAUAGUGUCCAAAUUUUAGGUUGGUGGCACCAGUAGAAGGUAUCAAAAAUGGCCGCUAUAACAUCUGUAUUCUAGGAUCACCUUGGUUGAAAAAAGACCAUUUCUAUUAACAUCGUUUUUAGUAGAUGAGCCUAUGAGAGAGACCAAAAAUCAAUGACCAAUUAAACAAUAAACUAUAUUUACAUCAUCAUCAUCGUCGUCGUCUUCUUCCAGCUUGUAUUUCGAUAAAUCUGCAUCACUGUCAUCACUUUCAUCCUCUUCACUAUCUUCCCUGUUUUCAAUUUUACGAUCAGUUAAUUGAUUUUCAAUUGACUUCUUUCCACGAUU